rnacentral:ncRNA from 1 species
GUGUUCGUAAAAAUAAGAGCUGGUUGACAUCUACCCCUACAAGGAUGGAAACAACCUUCGGGUUUUACUUGUUACCACACAUCCGUUUAAGGCAUUCCAACUUGGUGGGACUAGCAAAGAAUGUG